AUGGCGACGGAUCGCGCCGAUCUCAUCAGCAAUCUCCCCGACGCGUGGCUCGGCGUCGUCGCCUCCCUCGACCCUCCUCCCCACCAAGGAGGGCUGCCGAACGCAGUUGCUCUCGCGCCGCUGGCGCCACAUCUGGCGCUCUGCGCCGCUCAACCUCGACGGCAUACCCGAGAAGACCAUCUCCGCCAUCCUCUCCACCCACCUUGGCUCGUCUACAAGUACCACGGCUACGGCAGCGCCGUGAUACCACCCUCAGUGUUCCGCCAUGAGCCCGCACUCCACGUGGCCACAUUCGGUAGCUGCCGUCUGCCGCCCAACCUAGUCGUGGACUUCCCGCUGCUCCAGCAGCUUACCUUGUACAAGGUCGUCCUAACGGAAGAAUCUCUGAGCGCCGUGCUUUCUGGUUGUCCUGAGUUGGAGAGUCUUCUGCUAGACAGCAAUGUUGGCUCCGCCAUCAUCCGCAUCAAUUCCAUGGCUCUGAGGAGCAUCGGCUUCAGUGCUCCUUGGGACAAUCUAGUAGACUCUUAG
rnacentral:rRNA from 1 species